rnacentral:rRNA from 1 species
AGCGAACGUUAGCGGCGCGCCUAACACAUGCAAGUCGCACGAGAAAGGGCUUCGGCCCCGGUAAAGUGGCGCACGGGUGAGUAACACGUGGGCAACCUGCCCAACCCUGGGGGAUAACCUGCCGAAAGGCGGGCUAAUACCGCGUACGAGGGCUCGACUUCGGUCGGGUUCUGAAAGCAGGCCUAUGUAUACAAGCUUGUGGGGUUGGAUGGGCCCGCGCUCCAUCAGCUAGUUGGUGAGGUAACGGCUCACCAAGGCUACGACGGAUAGCUGGUCUGAGAGGAUGAUCAGCCACACUGGAACUGAGACACGGUCCAGACUCCUACGGGAGGCAGCAGUGGGGAAUCUUGCGCAAUGGACGAAAGUCUGACGCAGCGACGCCGCGUGGGUGACGAAGGCCUUCGGGUUGUAAAGCCCUGUGGGGUGAGACGAACAGCUGGGGUUCGAAUAGGGCCUUGGUCUGACGGUAUCACCUUAGCAAGCACCGGCUAACUCUGUGCCAGCCGCCGCCGUAAUAC